AAAGCAAAAGCUGCUGGAAAAGGGCCCCUCGCUAGUGGUGGCAUCAAGAAGUCUGGUAAGAAGUAGGAUGACCAAGCUGCUGGAAAAAGCGAUCGAGUUAUUCAGUGGACCUGCUGGCUUCAGAAAGCCAAGAAAACUCACCUUCAUUUGAAAACCUUGUACAUUUUGUUUAGUCAGAAUAAACCUUUUUUGUUAAGAUGUC